CUGCUGCCGACUCCGGUUAGUAGGAGCUGGUUUCCGUCCACGACCUAAAGCCGCAGGCACCGCCUGGUCUGAUGAAUGAGCUAUCCUCUGUGCGGGCCUUUGUACACACCAGUGAGCUGCUUCGACCACACCCUGGUCCAAGCAGGCUCUGGGUCCCAGCCUUCAGCCCCAGACCUCCAGCCAGCUACAAGGCCUGGUCAGGGAGCCAAACAUCCAGCCCCAGACGUCCAGCCAGCUGCAAGGCCUGGUCAGGGAGCCAAACCCCCAGGCCCCAGCCCCAGACGUCCAGCAAGCUGCAAGGCCUGGUCAGGGAGCCAAACCUCUAGGCUCAGACAUCCAGCCAGCUGCAAGGCCUGGUCAGGAAGCCAUACCCCCAGGUCCCAGCCCCAGACGUCCAGCAAGCUGCAAGGCCUGGUCAGGGAGCCAAACCUCUAGGCUCAGACAUCCAGCCAGCUGCAAGGCCUGGUCAGGGAGCCAUACCCCCAGGUCCCAGCCCCAGACGUCCAGCAAGCUGCAAGGCCUGGUCAGGGAGCCAAACCUCCAGGCCCCAGCCCCAGACGUCCAGCAAGCUGCAAGGCCUGGUCAGGGAGCCAAACCUCCAGGCCCAGACGUCCAGCCACCUGCAAGGCCUGGUCAGGGAGCCAAACAUCUAGGCCCCAGCCCCAGACGUCCAGCCAGCUGAAAUGCCUGGUCAGGGAGCCAAACCUCCAGGCCCCAGCCCCAGAGCUGAGCAGAGAAUCAGGGGUCUCAGUCACUCGUCAUUGACAAGCCAUCCAUUCAUACAGAAUUAAGGAGGAACAAGUCUUCACCACUUUUGUACAACCCCAAACCCACUUCUGUGUAACCGACUAGCCGUACACCCUAAAUAUUCAAUGCGACUGCUGGAUGUGUUUUAUGCAGACAGAACCUGACAGGCCUGAACCGAUGCCAAGCCCUAGGACCAUGCCUCAGGACUACCUGGCCUGAUGACUCCUUGCUGUCCCCAGUCCACCUGGUCGUGCUGCGGCUCCAGUUUCAACUAUUCUGCCUGCAGCUAUGGAACCCUGACCUGUUCACCGGACGUGCAGAAGACAGCAGGAGCGGUAGAGAUACUCUGAAUGAUCGGCUAUGAAGAGCCAACUGACAUUUACUCCUGACGUGCUGACCUGUUGCACCCUCUACAACCACUGUGAUUAUUAUGAUUUGACCAUGCUGGUCAUCUAUGAACAUUUGAACAUCUUGGCCAUGUUCUGUUAUAAUCUCCACCCGGCACAGCCAGAAGAGGACUGGCCACCCCUCAUAGCCUGGUUCCUCUUUAGGUUUCUUCCUAGGUUCUGGCCUUUCUAGGGAGUUUUUCCUUGCCACCAUGCUUCUACACCUGCAUUGCUUGCUGUUUGGGAUUUUAGGCUGGGUUUCUGUACAGCACUUUGUGAUAUCAGCUGAUGUAAGAAGGGCUUUAUAAAUACAUUUGAUUUGAUUGA